GAGACCCCCACCCCCACACUCCCUGGGGUAGGCUCUGCUCAGUGACCUUGACCCCAGGGAGCACAUUUCCAUUAAAGUUGACACCUCCAGCUUCUCUCUAUCUGGGCCCCUCAGAAAGUAUCCAUCGGAUGUGGCCCAUGACACCCAACCUUUGGCCUAACUUUGGGGGUCUGCCCUCCCCUUCACCCUGCUGCCAGCAGUACACGAGCCACCGAGUGCCCUCUGACUUUCCAGGCGGGCGUCGAGGCGCUGCGUGCCCUGCACUGCGGGGAAGAAGAUGAAGAUUCUGAGGGGCCCUCUCAGGCCCUGCUUCCGAGAUCUGGGGUGAAGGGGAAACACCCUCUACUCUUCUCCUUUGGGGUUAGAGAGGGGACUCACAGGACUUCAACGGCUCUUUCCAAAACUCCGCUUCUUAUCCCCAACCGCUGCCCGUGCUUUAGACCCUCCGUGUGUGAGGAGUUUGCACCCUUCAGAGUUUCAGCUGGAAAGUGGAUCUAUCGUCUUGGUGCUUCAGAGGAAACUUCUACAAUAUUCAGAUGGACGGGGCUCUCAGCCCCUCGACCACAAGGCUGUUCCAGCCUGAGCAGGUCAGUUCUGGGCAGUCUGGGAGCGGGAGGAGGGGUCCGCAGAACUCUUCCUGUCCCCGCUUUCUGCCUUCGCUUCUCAGGGGUACCCUGCCCUGGAAUGAAUGAGCUCCGCAAAUACUCAUCUCUGGGCAGCUGCCAAGUCUGGCCCCACUCCAGAGGACCGAGUGCUUGCAUCUGUCCCACUUCCCUUGGCAUGAAGGCCCCUGGCUGUCAGGGUGGGGCAGAGCUCCAGAGCCAGCCUUGGUGCUGGGACCCGGCCGAGCGAGGAGCUGCGGUGCCCAGGCCACAUGGCGUUCCCUGGUGAGGAGACGAUGUGAUGGCCACCAACACCCUUGGAACCCGUGUCGGCCCCAGUGCGAGUCAAGUGGACCCCUGCUGUCCUCCCGAGAAGUGUGACCAUUUAGUCUGAGGGGAGGGACAGUGGCAUCCUGAACCCCCACAGUGGCUGAGAAGGCUUCCAGCUGCCCAGCUGCCCUCUCUGCCCAGGAGGAGACGCUAUGCCAAGGCCCAGCUGUGGGAGAGUCUGCGUUUCCCGUGCCAUCCACUUGGAAAGGGCCUUCGUGCAGUCAGGGACUGGUGUGAUGGGGAGAAGGAGCCCAGUUUUCUUCUUGGGCGUUCCAGCCAAAUCAGGCUUGUUGAAGCCCUUCCCUGACUGCCAAGAGGGAGACCACUGCCUCCAGCCGGGAGUGCAGGAUGCCCAUUCUCACGUGGAUUCUCGUCCAUUGGAAUCUGGAGACAGGCCUGGACUUGGAGCCUUCUGCUCGUUGUCUGACCACAGGCAAGCCACUCCACCUCUCUGAGCUUUGGUCUUCUCGUUUGCACAAUAGGCAACUGGAAGUGAAAGUAUGGCUGCCAACAGGGAGACGCCUGCUAGACCGUGGUUGUUACAAAGCAGAAUCGUGGUCUAGCAGGGGGAAUAAUGCAUCCCAACCAGCGUCAGAAGGAGGCGCCAGCAGAAGGCCCGCUGCUCCCACGGGCUAAGGGGAUGAAUGACGGAGGCCAGGACCUUCCCAGGGCGUGCCUGCAGGCUUCUCCACCUAGACUGUCGUGGCCCAACCUCAGGCCAGCCCAGGCAACAGCGAGGCAAGGCCCGGCCUGGGUCUGCCGCCUCUCAGCCCAUUGGCCCUGUGGAUGCUGCGUUGCAAAACCACACUGUUUUGUUCUGACUUCCUCUUGGGUUCCCAGGAAGUUUAUUUACAGAAGUAAAAUUGC
ensembl:lncRNA